rnacentral:lncRNA from 1 species
AUGAUCAAGUUAAGAUGAGGCCAUUGGGGUAAGUCCUAAUCCAGCAUCACUUUCCUAAAGAGGGAAUUUCAGACACAGAGACCUACACACAUGCACAAGAAGAACACUAUGAGAAGCUGAAUAGGAAGUUUGAAAUGAUUUGAAUAAGAAACCAAAGAAUACCAGAUUACUGGCAAACCCUGGAAGCUGAGAGACAUGGACAGACCACCCUCAUGGGCUUAGAGUGAACCAAGCUUUCGGACACUCUGACCUCCAACUUUCAGCCUUCAGAGCUUCAGACAACACAUUUCUGCUGUUAAAACUGAGAGAGGAGACCACCCUUCCAUAUGGAAUUGGGCAACUGUGGCUUAACUAGGUAACUAUGCUUUUGUAGAAUGUACCUGAGUAGCCAUGACAAUUUCUGUAAUCUGUCACCAAAGGAGCGUAAUGGACUCAGAAAAUCCUGCCAGAACUCUUUGCCUCCCCCUUCUCCAUGGCUCUGCUUUGUGUAGAUCCUGCUUGCUAUAUUCCCAGGGCAACUUCAAUAAAGGCAUUUAGAAGGGAAAGAGGCUGCUCAGUGACUUUUGGAGACUUUGGCCAAGAUUUUGCUGAGGAGUGGAGAUGGGAGGGGAACUCACCGAUCCCUGUGAGGCACUUGGAAAAUAUAAGCAGAUACUUAAGCCACAGCUGGGCAAGUUUUGUAGGUUUGGAAUUUCAGCUUUUUCCACGGGCCAGGCAUUGAGAUUCUGGGGAAUGGACUGGAUAAGACCGAACAGGACUCUGCUCCAGGGGGUCCCAGCUCUGUCUCCGUUGGCAAAGUCCACUUCGUCUGCGAACAGCACGGCUCCCCUGGGCUUUCCUGUGAAGGUGGUGCUGAGUCCCUGGGCUGCCCAACGCAGCAGCCGCUAGCCGCAACUCCAGCCCCUGAAAC